rnacentral:rRNA from 1 species
GAUGAACGCUGGCGGCGUGCCUAAUACAUGCAAGUCGAGCGAACGGACGAGAAGCUUGCUUCUCUGAUGUUAGCGGCGGACGGGUGAGUAACACGUGGAUAACCUACCUAUAAGACUGGGAUAACUUCGGGAAACCGGAGCUAAUACCGGAUAAUAUUUUGAACCGCAUGGUUCAAAAGUGAAAGACGGUCUUGCUGUCACUUAUAGAUGGAUCCGCGCUGCAUUAGCUAGUUGGUAAGGUAACGGCUUACCAAGGCAACGAUGCAUAGCCGACCUGAGAGGGUGAUCGGCCACACUGGAACUGAGACACGGUCCAGACUCCUACGGGAGGCAGCAGUAGGGAAUCUUCCGCAAUGGGCGAAAGCCUGACGGAGCAACGCCGCGUGAGUGAUGAAGGUCUUCGGAUCGUAAAAUUCUUUCACCGGGGACGAUAAUGACGGUACCCGGAGAAGAAGCCCCGGCUAACUUCGUG